GCCUGGGAGGCAGCAGUGGGGAAUAUUGGGCAAUGGGCGCAAGCCUGACCCAGCAAUGCCGCGUGAAGGAAGAAGGCCUUCGGGUUGUAAACUUCUUUUAUCAGGGACGAAGGAUGUGACGGUACCUGAUGAAUAAGCUCCGGCUAACUACGUGCCAGCAGCCGCGGUAAUACGUAGGGAGCAAGCGUUAUCCGAAUUUACUGGGUGUAAAGGGCGCGUAGGCGGGAUGGCAAGUCAGAUGUGAAAUCCAAGGGCUCAACCCUUGAACUGCAUUUGAAACUGUCGUUCUUGAGUACUGGAGAGGU
rnacentral:rRNA from 1 species